GAUGAACGCUAGCGGCAGGCUUAAUACAUGCAAGUCGAGGGGCAGCACGGGUAGCAAUACUUGGUGGCGACCGGCGCACGGGUGCGUAACACGUAUACAAUCUACCUAUAACAGGGGGAUAGCCUUUCGAAAGAGAGAUUAAUACCCCGUAACACACGAAACGGCAUCGUUUUUUGUUGAAAGUUCCGACGGUUAUAGAUGAUUAUGCGUCUGAUUAGCUAGUUGGUAGGGUAAUGGACAACCAAGGCGACGAUCAGUAGGGGAUCUGAGAGGACUACCCCCCACACUGGUACUGAGACACGGACCAGACUCCUACGGGAGGCAGCAGUAAGGAAUAUUGGACAAUGGUGGCAACACUGAUCCAGCCAUGCCGCGUGCAGGAAGACGGCCCUAUGGGUUGUAAACUGCUUUUGUACCAGAGAAAACCUAUCAACGUGUAGAUAGCUGAUAGUAUGGUAAGAAUAAGCAUCGGCUAACUUCGUGCCAGCCGCCGCGGUAAAAC
rnacentral:rRNA from 1 species